rnacentral:rRNA from 1 species
UACGUAGGGGGCUAGCGUUGUCCGGAUUUAUUGGGCGUAAAGAGCGUGUAGGCGGCCAGGUAGGUCCGGUGUGAAAACUCGAGGCUUAACCUCGAGAUGUCAUCGGAAACCAUCUGGCUAGAGUCCGGAAGAGGAAAGUGGAAUUCCAGGUGUAGCGGUGAAAUGCGUAGAUAUCUGGAGGAACACCGGUGGCGAAGGCGGCAUCCUGGACCAUUACUGACACUGAAAAGCGAAAGCCAGGGGAGCAAACGGG